CUCGCCUCUUUGAAGUCGGAAUCGCUAGUAAUCGCAGAUCAGCAUGUUGCGGUGAAUACGUUCCCGGGUCUUGUACACACCGCCCGUCAAACCAUGAGAGUCGCCAACACCCGAAGUCCACCUAGUGGCCUAAGGUGGGGGAGAUGAUUGGGGUUAAGUCGUAACAAGGUAUC
rnacentral:rRNA from 1 species